UCCAGGUUGCUCACAUGAAAGAUGAAUGAAAUGACUGGAAUUAUGUCUUAUGGAACCUUAAGGAAUAGAAGUCUCAACAUCUUUUUUACACCAUGGCAACCAAAACUGGAUGCAGUAUUCCAAAUGUGGUAUUACCAAGGCCAGAAAAAGAUCUGGACUGCAAAAAAACUAGAUAACCAUUGGAUGCUAGUAAAAAGUUAGUUUUCUGUAUUUCUUUGCUGCCAUCUAGUAGCCAUCUUGAUGUCUGAAAAUUUGGUAGUCCUAUUGCUUGUAUACCAACAGAGUAAUGAAUUUGGUCUUUUUUGAUUGACAUCUUGAACAGACUUAUUACUAUCUUUGUCACAGAAUAAAGCAAAUUCAGGAUUUCAAA